rnacentral:rRNA from 1 species
UACGUAGGUGGCUAGCGUUGUCCGGAUUUACUGGGCGUAAAGAGCGCGCAGGCGGUCGUUCAAGUCGAGUGUGAAAGCCCCCGGCUCAACUGGGGAGGGUCACUCGAUACUGGUCGACUCGAAGGCAGGAGAGGGAAGCGGAAUUCCCGGUGUAGUGGUGAAAUGCGUAGAUAUCGGGAGGAACACCAGUGGCGAAAGCGCUCUGCUGGACCUAAACUGACACUGAGGGACGAAAGCUAGGGGAGCGAAUGGG